GAUGAACGCUGGCGGCGUGCCUAAUACAUGCAAGUCGAGCGAACGGACGAGAAGCUUGCUUUUCUGAUGUUAGCGGCGGACGGGUGAGUAACACGUGGAUAACCUACCUAUAAGACUGGGAUAACUUCGGGAAACCGGAGCUAAUACCGGAUAAUAUUUUGAACCGCAUGGUUCAAAAGUGAAAGACGGUCUUGCUGUCACUUAUAGAUGGAUCCGCGCUGCAUUAGCUAGUUGGUAAGGUAACGGCUUACCAAGGCAACGAUGCAUAGCCCACCUGAGAGGGUGAUCGGCCACACUGGAACUGAGACACGGUCCAGACUCCUACGGGAGGCAGCAGUAGGGAAUCUUCCGCAAUGGGCGAAAGCCUGACGGAGCAACGCCGCGUGAGUGAUGAAGGUCUUCGGAUCGUAAAACUCUGUUAUUAGGGAAGAACAUAUGUGUAAGUAACUGUGCACAUCUUGACGGUACCUAAUCAGAAAGCCACGGCUAACUACGUG
rnacentral:rRNA from 1 species